rnacentral:rRNA from 1 species
UACGUAGGGACCAAGCGUUGUUCGGAUUUACUGGGCGUAAAGGGCGCGUAGGCGGUCAGCACAAGUCAGUUGUGAAAUCUCCGGGCUUAACUCGGAAAGGUCAACUGAUACUGUGCGACUAGAGUGCAGAAGGGGCAACUGGAAUUCUCGGUGUAGCGGUGAAAUGCGUAGAUAUCGAGAGGAACACCUGCGGCGAAGGCGGGUUGCUGGGCUGACACUGACGCUGAUGCGCGAAAGCCAGGGGAGGCG